ACACACUUUCUCUCUCCCUCUCCCUCUCUGUGUGAUUGUGUGGUUGGAGACAGGUGUGCUGGAGUCAGAGCAGAUCCCUACCAGCUGCAACUUGUUGCAUAAUCAAGACCUCUACAAACACUCAGUCCUGCCACUUCCACUCUGCCAGAUCGUAAUCUCUGCUCAUUACCGCUCUGUCUCUGGUUCCUGUCUACCUUGCUCUGGAUUUUACUCAACACCACUACCUUGGAUUCCCCCCAGGACCUGUUUACCCUGUUCUACUCAGCUGACUCCAACCUCCGUCUCCACAUCUGUUUUUUCUGCAACUCAUCCGAGCUUCCCGGAUCUGCACUCCAUGUGUAACAAUUCAUAACAAUUAAUAUUUUGGUUCAUUCAUCCCAGUUUCCUCAUCUGAGAAUGCUCUUGGGUUCCCCUGUGUCUCACCGCUUAACAUAAAAUUGAUUAAUAGAUUAGAUUUAUUAGAAGACCCCAUAGCUUAAGUUAUGCCUAAUUUGUAGCCCUUAUUUUAUUAUGGUUUAUUUAUUUGCUUUUGUAUUUUGGUUUGUUUAUUUAGCUGUGGUGUAACCCUUGUGUGCUCUGAUUCCCACUGAUUAUUUGAAUGCAUGUUAUGCCUUAUUGUAUUUGUUCAUUGGCAAUAAAAUACAUGUAUACAAAAACGU